AUUGAACGCUGGCGGCAUGCCUUACACAUGCAAGUCGAACGGCAGCACGGGUGCUUGCCCCUGGUGGCGAGUGGCGAACGGGUGAGUAAUACAUCGGAACAUGUCCUGUAGUGGGGGAUAGCCCGGCGAAAGCCGGAUUAAUACCGCAUACGAUCUACGGAUGAAAGCGGGGGACCUUCGGGCCUCGCGCUUUAGGGUUGGCCGAUGGCUGAUUAGCUAGUUGGUGGGGUAAAGGCCUACCAAGGCGACGAUCAGUAGCUGGUCUGAGAGGACGACCAGCCACACUGGGACUGAGACACGGCCCAGACUCCUACGGGAGGCAGCAGUGGGGAAUUUUGGACAAUGGGCGAAAGCCUGAUCCAGCAAUGCCGCGUGUGUGAAGAAGGCCUUCGGGUUGUAAAGCACUUUUGUCCGGAAAGAAAUCCUUGGCCCUAAUACGGGCGGGGGAUGACGGUACCGGAAGAAUAAGCACCGGCUAACUACGUG
rnacentral:rRNA from 1 species